rnacentral:rRNA from 1 species
AUUGAACGCUGGCGGCAGGCUUAAUACAUGCAAGUCGAACGGUAACAGCAGAAAAGCUUGCUUUUUUGGCUGACGAGUGGCGGACGGGUGAGUAAUACCUAGGAAACUGCCUAAACGAGGGGGAUAACAUUUGGAAACGAGUGCUAAUACCGCAUAAUACUGCGAAGUCAAAGGUUGGAUUACCAAUCGCGUUUAGAUGUGCCUAUGUGGGAGUAGCUAGUUGGUGGCGUAAGGGCCUACCAAGGCGAUGAUCUCUAGCUGGUCUGAGAGGAUGACCAGCCGCACUUGAACUGAGACACGGUCCAGACUCCUACGGGAGGCAGCAGUAAGAAAUAUUGCACAAUGGGGGGAACCCUGAUGCAGCCAUGCCGCGUGUGUGAAGAAGGCCUUCGGGUUGUAAAGCACUUUCAGUUUGGAGGAAGGUAUUUGAGUUAAUAGCUUAGAUAUUUGACGUUACAAACAGAAGAAGCACCGGCUAACUCCGUGCCAGCAGCCGCGGUAAAAC